AUUUAAAUAAUUUAAUAAAAAUAUUGAUUUGUGGGAUCAAACUUGUAGUUAGAUUACUUUAAAUA
rnacentral:tRNA from 1 species